rnacentral:rRNA from 1 species
UUGGAGGGCAAGUCUGGUGCCAGCAGCCGCGGUAAUGCCAGCUCCAAUAGCGUAUAUUAAAGUUGUUGCAGUUAAAAAGCUCGUAGUUGAAUUUCGGAAUCAGUAUGUUGGUCGUGCUUCGGUACGUACUGUCAUUACUGGUUUCUACCUUCUGAAGAACCUUGAUGUCAUUAAUUUGGUGUCUUGGGGAAUCAGGACUGUUACUUUGAAAAAAUUAGAGUGUUUAAAGCAGGC